GGGGAGAUAUGACUCUGGGACUCCCAGUGACCAUCCAGCACAAGGAGAGACUUUCUGUAAAAUAAAGUCUUGCAGAGGUUAAUUAUCUGAGAAGAGUAUUGUGCCAGCACACUUGAUACUACAGUAUUUCAUGUUUGACAGCUGUUGAUUCCUUCUCUUGUUCUGGAUGGAAGAUAGCAACGAAGCCACUUCAAAGGGCUCAGCCUGCCUUUUUGUGUUAUUGUUUAGAUGGAGAUAUUUCCAUUUAUUAAAGCAGACUAUUUAAACAUUUUUAUCAUGUUUUAAACUUGACUGUGUUCUGAAGGUAUGAGCACAGGCAGACAUAAUGGGGGAUGUUUUCCAGGAGAAAACAUACUCUUAUCAAAGGAAUUAUCAGAAUUUUCAUGUAUGGAUUGAGAAUCAAAUUCUGGAGUUAGACCUGAAUUUAAAUUCAUACUCACAACUUAUUACCAGUCUCAUCUUGAUCAAAUGGUUACCACACUUCUCAUCAAUUUCCUUAUCUUUGAAAGUGGAAUAAGAGAAGUAUGCCUGGUGGAGUUACACAUAAAGCUCAUCUGAUAGAAUAUUCAUAAGGAUUUUGCACAAAAUAUACAUGGAAAUAUUUUAGCACCGAGUUUAGCAUGCGAUUCGUCUUCAAUACAUUUAAGAGCUAUUAUUUUAUUAUUAUUAUGCUAUCAUUAAAUAUCACUAUUACUUAAAUGUCAUUAUUGCUAACAUUGCUGUAAAACUACCGGAAUAACCCAUGAUGAAUUCCCCUCUUCUGUUUCCUUUGUUUAAAUGGAAAAUAUAUAUAUAAAUCUAGACAGAGAAGACUUUAGUGAUCCUAUUCAGUGGAGUGAGAAUUUCCAUGGCACUGAUUAAAACAAAUCCUAAAUUGCAUGGACUUAAGGUAGCAGAGAGGGGCUUCCCUGGUGGCGCAGUGGUUGAGAGUUCGUGACCCGAUCCGGGAAGAUCCCACAUGCCGCGGAGCGGCUGGGCCUGUGAGCCAUGGCUGCUGAGCCUGUGCGUCCGGAGCCUGUGCUUCGCAACGGGAGAGGCUGCAACAGUGAGAAGCCCGCGUACCGCAAAGAAGAAAAAAAAAAAAAAAAGAUAGCAGAGAGGCUAAGAGAUUUGAAGUUAGACAUCCCCAAGUGUGAAUUCUACUGUGACCCUCUUCUAGCUCUAGAACCUUGAGGAAGUUACUUAAACUUUCUGAGCUUUACUACUAGUUUCCUCAUCUGUAUCUUUUUCAGGACUAUUUAUCAAGCAUCUUCCUGUUCUCUAUGCUUGGACGUAUCAAUGAAUAAAUGAGACAAGAGCCUUUGCCUGCGUGCUCCUUCUUGCAUGCUUUCUCCCUCCUUACACUCUCGUGUGGAAACGGAUGUUAUAAAUAAACUCUAUGCUUUG